UACAGAGGGUGCUAGCGUUGUUCGGAAUCAUUGGGCGUAAAGGGCGUGUAGGCGGUUUGUUAAGUCAUGUGUGAAAUCCCUCGGCUCAACCGGGGAACGACGCAUGAAACUGGCAAGCUAGAGUACCAAAGAGGGGGGUGGAAUUCCCGGUGUAGCGGUGAAAUGCGCAGAUAUCAGGAGGAACACCAAUGGCGAAGGCAGCUCGCUGGGACGGUACUGACGCUGAGACGCGAAAGCGUGGGGAGCAAACAGG
rnacentral:rRNA from 1 species